rnacentral:rRNA from 1 species
UACGUAGGGGGCAAGCGUUGUCCGGAAUCAUUGGGCGUAAAGGGCGCGUAGGCGGCCACGCAAGUCGGAUGUGAAAUCCCUCGGCUCAACCGAGGAACUGCAUCCGAAACUGCGAGGCUCGAGUCCUGGAGAGGGUAGUGGAAUUCCCAGUGUAGCGGUGAAAUGCGUAGAUACUGGGAGGAACACCGGUGGCGAAGGCGGCUACCUGGACAGGUACUGACGCUGAUGCGCGAAAGCCAGGGGAGCAAACAGG